UAAGUCAAUUAGGAUCGAUAUACCUUGUAUAUCCACAAGGUGGCAGUAAUGCAAAAACAGUUGUAAUGAAACCGCGCAGAACAAGAAGGUUUCACGGCUUGUGCCUGCUCAUGCGCAAGACUUCAAAUUUAACUGAAAAAGGCUGUUUUGGCGCCAAGCUACUGUUUCUUUGAGAGAUCCUGCCUUUACCUGCUCCCUCCUAUACUGAUGUGGUGUAUGUGGUAUUGCUGAGCUUGUAUGUGGUGGAAGCAGAAUAUGUGAGGAUUACUACUGCUGCACAUGUUCCAAGGCUUUUUACACAACUUGACCAAUACACUGACCAGCUCAUAAAAGUCUUCAAGAAAAAAGGAGGCGUUGCAGGGAAGAAAAUUAGAUAAACUUUGGCCCCAGC